rnacentral:rRNA from 1 species
CGGACGGGUGAGUAACGCGUGGGUAACCUGCCUCAUAGAGGGGGACAACAGUUGGAAACGACUGCUAAUACCGCAUAGUAAGAAAGAUUCGCAUGUUUCUUUCUUGAAAGAUUUAUCGCUAUGAGAUGGACCCGCGUCUGAUUAGCUAGUUGGUAAGGUAACGGCUUACCAAGGCGACGAUCAGUGGCCGGCUUGAGAGAGUGAACGGCCACAUUGGGACUGAGACACGGCCCAGACUCCUACGGGAGGCAGCAUG